rnacentral:rRNA from 1 species
UGGGGAAUUUUGGACAAUGGGGGAAACCCUGAUCCAGCCAUCCCGCGUGUGCGAUGACGGCCUUCGGGUUGUAAAGCACUUUUGGCAGGAAAGAAACGUCAUGGGUUAAUACCCCGUGAAACUGACGGUACCUGCAGAAUAAGCACCGGCUAACUACGUGCCAGCAGCCGCGGUAAUACGUAGGGUGCAAGCGUUAAUCGGAAUUACUGGGCGUAAAGCGUGCGCAGGCGGUUCGGAAAGAAAGAUGUGAAAUCCCAGAGCUCAACUUUGGAACUGCAUUUUUAACUACCGGGCUAGAGUGUGUCAGAGGGAGGUGGAAUUCCGCGUGUAGCAGUGAAAUGCGUAGAUAUGUGGAGGAACACCGAUGGCGAAGGCAGCCUCCUGGGAUAACACUGACGCUCAUGCACGAAAGCGUGGGGAGCAAACAGG